AUGUUUGUUAAUCAGUUGGCAGUCUUGCGGGGCGCACAAAACAAAGCGACGCUUCGCAUUUAUAGCUGCGCCGUUCGUUUGUGCGCAGGCGCAAACUGGACGGCUGCCAGGCGUUUUGCGGAACCCGAGCUCUGAUUCAGCAUUCUUCGUUUCCUCGUUUCCACUCUGACGUUCUUUCUUUCUUUUAUUUCUUUUUAAUCAGUACAAACGGAGGACCUUGCUAUCGGCUGGCGCUAUCCGCGUACGCCUUCGGCUCCGGAAACGUUUCAAGGAGCCGACGGGCCCGUGAAACAGUGCAUAGAAAGCACGCGGUAAAUUUGCCGUAUUAUGGUGACCCACACUUCACCAGUGGCGAUGCCUUGCUUGAUCUGUUUGAGAGACAGCGCGUUCUGAGCGAAGUUCGGACGUACUACAGCACAUAUAAUGUGGUGCGUUUUCAGUGGCGGAUGCGAACGACCUAGUUAACUGCUGUUUAGGCGAAGCUGCGCUGAGAACGAAUGCAACGGAAGCAUCCUGAGGCUUUCAGGACCGUAUAGGGAUGAAACCGCCGCCGCCGCUGCUGGAUUUUGCUAAGACCGGCCGCAGCUAGGUUCUCGAAGGGGGAAUACCGCGACCAGUGCACGACGUCUUGCAGAAGAAGAGGAAAAAAAAUACAAGAAGCAGCAAAGGUUGCUUGAUCACCGAGGUGCAGGUUGGCUAGCACUUGGCUCUGCCGGGACACAUCCUGCUGCGGGCGACGGUGGCGGCGAGGCAUUUCCGAAAAGGUGGUCAUCACUGUUGCCGUCUUUCUCUGCAUUCGCGCUGUAUGGGUGGGUCUGCAAAUGGGACCCAACCUCUUCACGGGACUCGACCUGGUGACCGAGGAAGAACCGACCUCCCGCCAAUCCCCCUCUGAUAUCCAGCCCGGCCGCCGGGAAUCGCCGCCCCUAGAUGACAGCAGCGUGUCCGGCGGCUGAAGCUUCUCACCGUGGCCUUUUUGCUUGGGAAACGGCCUGCACUGAAAAAAAAUGACAGGAAUUCUUUUUACACGACUAAGUGAAAUACCACGUGAAGCGGUAGCCUUACACGUACAACGAACCUCGUCGAAGUACAUUCGCAGUCUUUAUGGCCGGAAACACUUGAGUGUCUGCCUCUCGAUACAGGCACAACAUUCUGUUGUACGGCUGUCAGAAUCUCGUAGUUUGUAGCCUACAAGGACUCAUUUGCUCAUCGCGCAAAAGACUAGGACGAAAAAUUGAAAAAUAUAUUCGAAAUAUUGCCACAUGAAGCAACAGUUCCGUUGUACGUAAUUUAGCAUACUAAAUGCUGAAAUGUACGCUUUUUACAUUUUACAACGUGUUAGUCUUUCGUGACUCGACACAGAAGUGCUUGUGCUACAACAAUUAGCGGGCCCGUGUGGGCCCACGUACAGCUUAUAAGUCAUGCAGAAAGGCGCUGCUCACAUAACCACGGUGGUUUGACCUGUACCUGUAGUAAUUGUUUCUUUGCGUAUUUGGUCAAACAGUGCCUUGCGCUUCAACUCAAAUUUCGCCUGUGCCAGCUUACAGACCCAGCAGGUGCUACAGCUGACUGUUGGAUGCAGUGCAUCUGGACGCUGCUGCAUCGGACGUGCUGCUUCCCGCCGCGAUAAAAAAUGCAGAUCGCUGCACAUGAAAACGCCAUGUAGUGUAACUCUCUCUAAAAUUUGUGAGCACAACACAGACAGUAAAACUGGCAGGUGAAAGUGCUUUUCAAGUAAGUCGCAAUGCGGACUCAUCUGAUAACUGUUGGUUGCAGUUUGUUCUGCACAUAAUCGUCUCUACAUUAUGUUGUGAGUAGGACUCGCAGAUAGCUCUAUUAUCGGACUGUGCUGGCCACACAACUUUUCAUCCAUUGAAACAUAACUGUUUGGUUCUGUCA